UACGUAGGGGGCAAGCGUUGUCCGGAUUUAUUGGGCGUAAAGAGCGUGUAGGCGGCCAGGUAGGUCGGUUGUGAAAACUGGAGGCUCAACCUUCAGAGGUCGACCGAAACCAUCUGGCUAGAGUCCGGGAGAGGAGAGUGGAAUUCCUGGUGUAGCGGCGAAAUGCGCAGAUAUCAGGAAGAACACCCGUGGCGAAAGCGGCUCUCUGGAACGGUACUGACGCCGAGACGCGAAAGCGUGGGGAGCGAACAGG
rnacentral:rRNA from 1 species